rnacentral:rRNA from 1 species
CCUACGGGGGGCAGCAGUGAGGAAUAUUGGUCAAUGGACGAAAGUCUGAACCAGCAACGCCGCGUGGAGGAAGAAGGCCUUCGGGUUGUAAACUCCUUUUUAGGGGGAAAAGGAAGGAUGGUACCCCUAGAAUAAGUCACGGCUAACUACGUGCCAGCAGCCGCGGUAAUACGUAGGUGACAAGCGUUAUCCGGAAUUACUGGGCGUAAAGCGCACGCAAGCGGUCGUUCAAGUCUGACGUGAAAUCUUCUGGCUUAACCAGGAGCGGUCGUUGGAAACUGAGCGACUAGAGGCGAUGAGAGGGGUGCAGAAUUCCAGGUGUAGUGGUGGAAUGCGUAGAUAUCUGGAGGAAUACCAGUGGCGAAAGCGGCGCCCUGGCAUCGGCCUGACGCACAUGUGCGAAAGCGUGGGGAGCGAACGGGAUUAGAUACCCGAGUAGU